AAAACAAUAUGCGAAUAACAAUACAGGAGGUACAGGGGAAUAAUAUGAAGUUGGUGGGCCAAUGACAGGGAUUCGAGAAUAUCGAUAUGGUGUACUUUGGGCAAACAGAAAAUUACGAGACUUGGAAUGGACAAUGAUGCUAACAGACAAGUUGGAGCCAUCAUAGAGUCAGACUGUGAGGGGUUGCUUAGGUCAGGCUGAAGAUUUUUCGUCCAUGGGAAGCCAUGGUUUAUGCAGAAGUCUAGCCUGCGAAGGUGUGAGGGUUCAUCAUGAGAACACGAGGGAUGGCUCAGUGGAGCAGAUGAAGCAGGUCAGGGUGCUGAUGGCCCUGUGGCAGAGGAUGAGGCCAAGAAACGGAGGAAAAAGCAAGGUGAUGGAGAAGACAAGAUGAUUUGACAGUCAUCUGUCACCCAGUUGAUGUGGAGUGAGAUAUGUAGAAGAGUGUUCUAGUGUGGCUUAGUCUGUGGGUGGCAGGUGCCUCUCCUAACAAGAUGUGGUGAUAUAUCCCAAUAGUGGUUGCUUCUUUGAUGGUAACUGAUGUGGUUUUAACCUGAGCAACACCCAACACAUCCUUGCUAACGUCUUUACAGGAAGAGUGAUCGUCUUACUCCUAAUUCCUGUCUAGGCAGCCAGCUCCUUGCAGACUGCUCUCCAAAUGAGUGUGUGGUGGAGCUACUGUCUUUUCACAUGUGAGAAAAUUCUGUGGCCAAGUAGUGGAAAAGAUGUAACACCACCAGGCCUAGAUCUUCCUCAAGGACCUACCAAGGAAGGCAUCUUAGUUCAAGAAUGUUACCUUGGAUCCUCUUUAAAUUCACUUUUCCAAGCUUUUUUUUUAAAAUCAAGGUAUGAAGGUUGUAUAGUUUUAGGAUUUUAGAGAUUUUAAUGGACACAUACUAUUUGCAUAUAUUUAUGAGGAACAGUGUAGAAAUUUGAUCUAUGUGUAUGAUCUGCAAAUGAUCCCUCAAGAUAAAUAGCAUAUUUGUAUUUUGCAACCACGGAAGGGAAGAGAGGGGAGGCUCUGUCUGUGCAGGGGGUGCCUGUGUAAGUACAGCGGCAACAGCUCAUAACCAGAAGGGUGUGGUAAAUGGAGACUGGAGCUGUCACAUGCAGCACUCUGCCCCUCCUUCCUCAUGGUGGAGAGAGCUGAGGGUUUGAAUACCUUACUAGCUACAAACAGGUAUGUCCCAGUGAAGCCCCUUCCUAGAAAAGGAUAAAAAGCUCGCUUUAGGCUCCACUCUAAGGGAUGACAGGAGUCUGGAUAAGCACAGUACUGGAAAUUUCCAGGGACUUGCAGAGAUCUAGAAAGCUUAGAAGACCCUCACUUUAGAAGAAAAGUCAGUGAUGACCAACGUUUAAUUGCCAAUGCUAAUGAUCAGAGGCACAAAGUGUCUACCUAAAAGAUUCUUCUUUAAAAACAAGAAAAUAUUCCUUUGCAUUGUUUGUGUGUGUGUGUGUGUGUGUGUGUGUGUGUGAUAUCUGUAAACCAAAGGCAGGAAGGCUCCUUCCUCCAACACAGAAGCUGAUUUAGAUAGAACUCCUACUGUGUUAAAGAGAAUCGGACAUGAAAAUGCUCAUCAUACUUAGGCUACUGGUCAGGAGGGACUGAGAGAAAUUAGGUAUCUAUAACAAAUCUACAACUCAGUAGACACAUUGCUCUGAGAAUUAAGUCUAACUUCCCCGGGCCUAAAUUUCUACCAUUUUCCCCCUCGCAUAAAGCAAAUAAAAAAGAAACAGGGUAUUUUAAGUCAUAAACACUAUAAAAAUAUUAAUACUUAGUACUUUGAUUCUUAUGUCAGUAUACAAUAAGGCAUUAAAGAUGUUAAUUCCUUAGCCUUGUUGGAACAGAGUGGGUAGAGAUAGCUUUCCUUCUAUAAAUUUCUGUUCCUGAAAGUUCAUUGAAAGAGGAUGUUUAGAGAAAGAUUCUUGGGUCAAAUGGUCACUCCAUUCUGUCUCUCAUUUUUCUUAUAAAAAAGAGGUUGGUCAUGAUAUUUUACAGUAUUAAAAUCCUUUUCCUACAGCAGGUAUGGUUUUAAUUCAACCACAGUUAAGUAGCAAUAGCUAACCAGGGAGGUGCAUAUGUUGCAGGAUUGAUGGUAUCAGUAAGGCCUACAGGUAUGUAUAGAGCAUGUACUGCCUAAUCUAACAACAACCUUGUAGGGUACAAUAAGAAACUUCCUAAACAAACAGAAAGGUUUUCCCUUCAAAAGUACAAAGCUCUCCAUCCCUAAACAAAUCACUUUGAAUGCAUCGUCUUUCAGAAGAGUAGCCAGAAUGAGAGAAUGCAAUGAUGCUAAGAUGAACCAAUGCUCCAUUUUUUCUAGUAUCUUAAAUGUUUAGAUUGCAGACCAGCUUGACUUAUCCCCAAAUCUUUGACCUUAAGCCCUUUGAUGAUUCAUCAUUGGAGCAGAGAAGAGAAACUUCUACAGACUGGCUGGGAAAAACAGACAUCUUCCUUCUUAGUUUGCAGAACUGGCCUAGAUUUAUCACUCAAGAGUCAAAAACAACUCGAGAAUAAUAGAAAUUUUCUAGACUCUGUUUGACUAGAAGUCACUUUUCCUUUCUCUACAUUACUUUCCUUUACAUAACUCUUCUGCCUGAAGUGGCAUGACCAUUUAGGUUCACAAGUCUCUCCUAAGGUACUGAUAUUUGUCGCUUACAGCUUUUAGUUUGGGCAUGGGGUUGGCAAAUCUACAGUAUAAACUGAGGAAAUGACCCACGUUCUAACUUACAUAUUCUCCCAUCUUCUGAUCUGAUGCUUGGCCUGUCAGCUGAAUGACUAGUGGGCAAGGUCAUUCAUGACAUGACUUUCAGAACAUUAAGUCUCCUGGACUUCUAAACUGCUCAGACAUGAUGUUCAUGCCACUAUUAUAAGGUGCCAGGAAUUCUGUCUACAUCAAGGGUGAACUUGUAUAGGAAAUAUUAGCUUAUGCCCAAACUCCAAAGCAGGCUGACUUAUUAUACAUCUUCUAAAAACUCACCAUCUAUCUGAGAUAAUGAGAAUGGUUGAAAUAUAUAAAAAUUACACACAAAGUAUCUAUUUGUUAAAAUAUGGCUUCAUAAGGUUAAUUUUUAAUAAAAAGAGCACUGCCUUCAUACUAUAAUGAAUCUUGUAAUGUGAGGAAUAUUCCAUGCAUAGGCCCCUCCCUGAGCAGUAUGUGGGGCAUUAUUUUAUUUUAUUUUUUAAAGAAUGAGGAGAGUAAAGCCACUGCUCCUUAGUCUUCUUAUAAAAUGGUGUUCAUGAUGGGAAAUAAAUGUAAAGACAUUAUAGGGAAGUUUAGCAUAGAUGUCUUUGAAGCUACUGUGGCCGUUGAACCAUUUGAACCUUGAUAGCUUUUCCCUUUUUUCUUUUUCUUUUCUUUUUAUUUCCUCUUAUGAUUGCAUAGGAUUGGCACAGUCAUUGCCAUUAAUCUGAGUAAGUUUCUUGAUGUCACUGCAGAAUAGACCAACAAUCAGGAUCCAGAAAGUUAUUCAGUGUUUCCCUCUGAUGUCUUUGUGGAUGGCAGUUUGGUGGCUAUGAAAUGGAGCAAACUAUUGCUUGGUUUUGUGUUUCCUACAGCAAGGAGUGAAGUGGUAAACAGAGUCAGGAGGGAGGUGAUUCAAGGAUGGGUAAUGCGGCAAAAGCAACAGAGACAAGAUGAUCAUGGGGAUGGUCCAUGAAGCACAGUCCUAUAGCAUAGCUGUCAUGGCGAGACGAAAAGUGCUACUCUUAACAGACUGAAUGUUAGUCUGCAGAGCAACACACCCAUGUCUCCACAGAGUAGCAUUUUUAUUGCAGCGUGACUUUCUUGGGAAAUGAACAAUUCUUUAAAUAAAUCACAAUUACUUAUUGCUUAGUAUUUGAGAUAAUAAAUUCUUUAGUUUAUCAGUACUCCAUGGCCUUCAAAUGUGCAUUCUUCAAAUAGUUUCAAU
rnacentral:lncRNA from 1 species